AUGCAGCAGCAAUCUGUGCCCUCUCCCGCCCUCCACCAACCCUGGGGUCUCUUUCCCCCUUUCUCCUCCUCUACUCCCCGCUUCCUCCUCCACCAUGGGGCGGGGAGGGGGGGCGCCUUGCCUUCCCACCCACCCCUAUUGUUCCACCCCCAGCCUAUUGUUCCAUCCCCGCCCGCUCGCCUUUUCCGCUCCCCUUUUCCCCUCGUUUUUCGCCUGCAGUUUUUGGCUUCACCCCCACCAGUGACCAAAGACUUGACCAAAGUCCAGCUCCUCAUAACACUUCUCGACAAGGACACUGGUGUGAUUGAAGGUGGAUUAAAUGUCACUCUCACCAUUCAGCUACUUAUGCAUGGAAAGGAAGUUGGCAGUAUCAUCGGAAAGAAAGGAGAAUCGGUUAAGAUAUGUGAGGGUAGUGCACGUAUCAAUAUCUCAGAAGGGAAUUGUCCUGAGAGAAUUAUCACUUUGGCUGGACCCACUAAUGCCAUCUUCAAAGCCUUUGCUAUGAUCAUUGACAAACUGGGAGAGGACAUCAGCAGCUCUAUGACCAAUAGCACAGCUGCCGGUAGACCCCUGGUCACUCUGAGGCUGGUGGUCCCUGCUAGUCAGUGUGGCUCUCUCAUUGGAAAAGGUAGUUGCAAGAUUAAGGAAAUACGAGAAAGCACAGAGGCUCAAGUCCAGGUGGCAGGGGAUAUGCUCCCCAAUUCAACUGAGUGGGCCAACACAAUCCAUCAUUGAGUGUGACAAACAGAUCUGCUUGGUCAUGUUGGAGACUCUCCCAGUCCCCCUGGAAGGGCGUGACCAUCCCGUACUGGCCCAAGCCGUCAAGUUCUCCAGUCAUCUUUGCAGGUGGUCAGGACAGGUACAGCACAGGCAGCGACAGUGCGAGCUUUCCCCAAACCACCCCGUCAAUGUUUCUCAACCCUGACCUGGAGGGACCACCUCUAGAGGCCUAUACUAUUCAAGGAUAGUAUGCCAUUCACAGCCAGAUAUGACCAAGCUGCACCAGUUGGCAAUGCAACAGUUUCAUUUUCCUAUGACUUCAUGCAUGGCAACACCGGAUUCAGUGCAGGUUUAGAUGCAUCUGCUCAGACUACUUCUCAUGAACUCACCAUUCCAAAUGAUUUGAUUGGAUGCAUAACUGGGCGUCAAGGAGUCAAAAUCAAUGAGAUCUGUGAGAUAUCUGGGGCGCAGAUCAAAAUUGCGAACCCAGUGGAAGGAUCUACUGAUAGGCAGGUUACCAUCACUGGAUCUGCUGCCAACAUUAGCCUGGCUCAGUAUCUAAUCAACGUCAGGCUUUCCUCGGAGACAGGUGGCAUGGGGAGCAGCUAGAACAGAUUCAUCCAUAAUCCCUUUCUGCUGUUCACCACCACCCAUGAUCCAUCUGGGUAGUUUCUGAACAGUCAGCAAUUCCAGGUUUUAAAUAGUUUGUAAAUUUUCAGUUUCUACAUACUUUAUCAUCCACUCGUGAUUUUUU